GACGAACGCUGGCGGCGCGCCUAACACAUGCAAGUCGAACGAGCGAGAGAGAGCUUGCUUUCUCAAGCGAGUGGCGAACGGGUGAGUAACGCGUGAGGAACCUGCCUCAAAGAGGGGGACGACAGUUGGAAACGACUGCUAAUACCGCAUAAGCCCACGACCCGGCAUCGGGUAGAGGGAAAAGGAGCAAUCCGCUUUGAGAUGGCCUCGCGUCCGAUUAGCUAGUUGGUGAGGUAACGGCCCACCAAGGCGACGAUCGGUAGCCGGACUGAGAGGUUGAACGGCCACAUUGGGACUGAGACACGGCCCAGACUCCUACGGGAGGCAGCAGUGGGGAAUAUUGCACAAUGGGGGAAACCCUGAUGCAGCGACGCCGCGUGGAGGAAGAAGGUCUUCGGAUUGUAAACUCCUGUUGUUGAGGAAGAUAAUGACGGUACUCAACAAGGAAGUGACGGCUAACUACGUG
rnacentral:rRNA from 1 species